rnacentral:rRNA from 1 species
UACGUAGGGUGCGAGCGUUGUCCGGAAUUACUGGGCGUAAAGAGCUCGUAGGUGGUUUGUCACGUCGUCUGUGAAAUUCCGGGGCUUAACCUCGGGCGUGCAGGCGAUACGGGCAAUACUUGAGUGCUGUAGGGGAGACUGGAAUUCCUGGUGUAGCGGUGAAAUGCGCAGAUAUCAGGAGGAACACCGAUGGCGAAGGCAGGUAUCUGGGCAGUAACUGACGCUGAGGAGCGAAAGCAUGGGUAGCGAACAGGAUUAGAUA